rnacentral:lncRNA from 1 species
CUUAUUUCUUAAGCAGUAAUCUUUGAACCUCAGUCUCCUCAUCUGUCACAAUAGGACAAAAACAUCAUCCAGCAGGAUUGCUGUAAGGGUUAAAUGAGAUCAAAGCACCUAGUACAAUGUCUGGUACAGGUCUGCUGUCAUGAAAUGGGAACAAUUUGUUUUCUUCAGAAUAGUCAUGACCAGAAGAGAUAUAUUUGAUCCAGGAAUGCACAGGCGGAAAUUGAAUUCUUUGAACAACGUCUUGCCUCAAAUGACUGCUUAUAUAUGAAUACUAGGAGACAGAAGUAGAGAGACCAUUUUUAUGGAUCUGAUGUUAUGACAAUUACUGCAGCUGAAGAAAUCUUCCCAUUUUGUUAAUCGGCUUCUACUUCCCCCAGAACAACCCACUGAGAUCCUUCAGGAGUUAACCAGAGCUGAUUGUUAUAAAACAUGCCAUUUACUAAGUGCCAAACCUAUGCCAGGUCUUUAACCUGUAUUACUUCAUUUAAACGCAGAAAAGGCCCUUCGAAGUAAGUUUCUGUUAUUCCCGUUUUGCUGAUGAGGACACUGAGAUUUUGAGCAGUAAUGGGAUCAUGAGAGGCAGUGGCAGGUGGAUUGACUCCAGAAUGAAUGGCCUCUGCACGCUGCCCGCAGUCUACCUGACUAGAGCGCUGCUACAUGAACCGCUGAAGCAGAGGACAUCAGAUGUCAGGCGGUGGCAGGAUAGAGAACAAAGCACAGCAAGGAGCAAGAGUGAUGUGGUGGUCUGUCUUCUACUACAAUAUGAGAUCCAUAUAUUCUCUAUGUGGAAUACAGCAGAGGCCUUGUUUCUAUUCACUGCUGUAUCCUCACUACGUCCUCACUACAUCCUCUGGUAUAUAAUGAAUGCUCAGUACAUUUUGACCCUGAAUACCCACCAUUGGUACCACCACCAUUCUAAUCGCCGAAGUUGGAAAGCUUGUGCUUUAUUGGCUCUCAACUGUCUGCCAUCUUUUGUCAGCCCCAAGACCUGUCAUUUCUCCAUCUGUGAGAGCCCUAAUAUCUACCCAUUGUGUCCUCUGUCUCCCACCCCUGCUCUACCACAUCACAUCCCACCCCACAGGUUCUAGUUCCUAAAUUACCUUCAUUGCUUCGUAACUGAUCUCUCUGCUUCUCUCUCCCUCCAAUACACUGCCAAGUUAAUUCUUCCCACCAUCACUUUCAUUUCCAAACUUCCUUAAAAACAAGAAAUGAGUCUUAUUUAUCUUGGUAUCCUCUGUGUAUGGUACUCAGUAGAUGCUAAAGAACUGUAAAAAAAAUAUUUCAUACAUAUUUAUUUAUUUAUUUAUUUGGAAAGAGAGUCUUACUCUAUCUCCCAGGCUGGAGUUCAGUGGCGUGAUUUCAGCUCACUGCAACCUCCACCCGCUGGGGUCAAGAGCUGGGAUUACAGACCUGCACCACCAAUCCUUCGCUAAUUUUUUUGAAUUUUCAGCAGAGACGAAGUUUCACCAUAUUGACCAGGCUGGUCUCAAAUUCUUGGACUCAAGUGAUCUGCCUGCCUCAGCCUCCCACAUCAUUGGAAUUACAGGCAUGAGCCACCACACCUGGCCAUUGUAUAAAUAUUUAUAACUCACCUUAGACCAUAAUAGCUAAAAAUUACUUUUAUUCUGUCAGUGUGUUGCUCAGAACCCUUUAGGAUUCCUCAACAACCAACAAGACAAAGUUCAAAAUCAGCCUAUCAUUCGUGGCCCAUUAUGAUCUGGCAAUGCCCACCUUUUGGUCCUACCUCCUCCACAUUCAUCCUUCCCUCCAUGAUAACACACCUCUCUCCUGCUUGCUUCUGCUGAUACUGUUCUUCACUCCCUUGGGACACCUUCUCUCAUCCGUUUAUUCAACUGCUACCCACUCUUCAAAGUCUGAUCAAUCCCCACUUCUCCAUCAAGGACUCUCCAAAUCAUAUCAUGCAAAAAUGAACAUCCCUGCCCUGUCCUCCUGGAGAUCUUACUGGUACCAUUAGUCAUUCGGCAUUUAGCACACCCUGACAUUCAUUCAUUCAUCAUUCAUUUAUUUAUUCAAUAGAUACUUAUCAGAUCACUAUCACAUAGUAUUAAUGUUUUCUUCCCAUACUUGUACCUUAUCUAUUUAAUUAUGUUAUAAACUCUUUGGAGGAGAACACUAAGAUUUUAGACUUACCUGAAUAUACACAUUCAUAUAUAUGUUACAUUACUGAUCAAAGAGAAUGUGGUCUGUUUCAUGCCCCCGUGUUCUUAUACAUAUUGUUUCAUUUGCCUAGAACGUCCUCUCUCCAGCUCUUAUGGUUCCCAUCUGCCAGGAAAAUUCUUAUUCAUCUUUAAAUAAACAAGUGAGUCUGAUCUCUCCCUCCUGUGGGUGUCCUCUACCAACAACAUAUCACACGUGUCCAGCUCUUACACUCAUGAUUUUUUGUCUGUCUUGUUCGGUGAAGGAUUCUCCCUCCUGAAGCCACUAACAAUAAUAUUUUAUAAUAU